UCCCUGCAGGACUAGUGGUUAGGCCUCAGCGCUCUCACCACCGGGGCUCGUGUUCGAUUCCCGGCCAGGGAA
rnacentral:tRNA from 1 species